rnacentral:SRP_RNA from 1 species
GCCAGGCAUGGUGGUGUGUGCCUGUAGUCCCAGCUACUUAGGAGGCUGAGAUGGGAGCAUCACUUGAGCCCAGGAGGUUGAGGCUACGGUGAGCCAUGAUUGUGCCACUGUACUCCAGCCUGGGUGAGAGAGUGAGACCCUAUCUCCA